UACGGGGGAGCAAGCGUUGUUCGGAUUUACUGGGCGUAAAGGGCGCGUAGGCGGCCACUGCAAGUCAGUUGUGAAAUCUCCGGGCUUAACCCGGAAAGGUCAACUGAUACUGCAGGGCUAGAGUGCAGAAGGGCAACUGGAAUUCUCGGUGUAGCGGUGAAAUGCGUAGAUAUCGAGAGGAACACCUGCGGCGAAGGCGGGUUGCUGGGCUGACACUGACGCUGAGGCGCGAAGCCAGGGAGCGAACGGG
rnacentral:rRNA from 1 species